AGUGAACGCUGGCGGUAUGCCUAAUACAUGCAAGUCGAGCGGACGCACAGUAAGCGCUCGCUUUUACGGUUGGCGAGUGGCGGACGGGUAAGGAAUAGAUCAGAAACUAAUUUGACGGGGGGGAUAACGUAGGGAAACUGACGCUACUACCGCAUACGACCUACGGGAGAAAGCAGAGGAUCUUGAGAGCUUGCCCGAUAGAAUGAGCCGAUGUCGGAUUAGCUAGUUGGCGGGGUAAAGGCACACCAAGGCGACGAUCCGUAGCUGAGCUGAGAGGAUGAUCAGCCACACUGGAACUGAGACACGGUCCAGACUCCUACGGGAGGCAGCAGUAGGGAAUAUUCGACAAUGGGCGCAAGCCUGACCGAGCCACGCCGCGUGAGUGAUGAAGGUCUUCGGAUCGUAAAACCCUGUUAUUAGGGAAGAAAAGAUGUGUAUGUAACUGUGCACAUCUUGACGGUACCUAAACAGAAAGCCACGGCUAACUUCGUG
rnacentral:rRNA from 1 species